rnacentral:lncRNA from 1 species
CUUUAGUGAUGGAGAUGUGGCACUAACGCUUCCUCUUUGCACAAGCUCUGAUGGGAAAAUGUGAUGAUGCUCUUCCAGAACAUCCUUAAAUAAAAUGCAAACAGGCUGGAAGUAUUUUUAGUAUAAAAGUUUUCUCGAAUCUGAAAGUACGAGAUGAGUCACGGUUAAUAAACAGGGAUAGCCAGCGGCAGCAGAGACGCCUUCCAAUCUCCUUAAGUGGCGUUCGCCUCCUCACCCUCUCUCAGCCCCUUAUUCUCUUACACCGAUCACGACUUGAUUAACGCCUGUCUUCAGCGCUAGACUGCCAGCUGCACGAGGUAAGCAAUCGAUGGCAUUCCGGUUCUCCCUGACAAUCCCCCUCCCCAGAAGGAUGCCUGAGGCAUAACAAGUGUUCCAGAAAUACUUCUUCCGCUAGCGCUCUGGGCUGGUCUGGAUGGACCGAGAGCCCGCUGAGCUGCGGGUACCGGGGGGAACCCAGGGGACUCCGGCCGGCCCUGUCGCCCCGCCCACCACCAGCCGGCCGG